rnacentral:rRNA from 1 species
GAUGAACGCUGUCGGCGUGCCUAAUACAUGCAAGUCGAGCGAACGGACGAGAAGCUUGCUUCUCUGAUGUUAGCGGCGGACGGGUGAGUAACACGUGGAUAACCUACCUAUAAGACUGGGAUAACUUCGGGAAACCGGAGCUAAUACCGGAUAAUAUUUUGAACCGCAUGGUUCAAAGGUGAAAGACGGUCUUGCUGUCACUUAUAGAUGGAUCCGCGCUGCAUUAGCUAGUUGGUAAGGUAACGGCUUACCAAGGCAACGAUGCAUAGCCGACCUGAGAGGGUGAUCGGCCACACUGGAACUGAGACACGGUCCAGACUCCUACGGGAGGCAGCAGUAGGGAAUCUUCCGCAAUGGGCGAAAGCCUGACGGAGCAACGCCGCGUGAGUGAUGAAGGUCUUCGGAUCGUAAAACUCUGUUAUUAGGGAAGAACAUAUGUGUAAGUAACUGUGCACAUCUUGACGGUACCUAAUCAGAAAGCCACGGCUAACUACGUG